CGGUAAGAGAGUGAACAAGAAAUUAACUUUUUGGAUUUAAGAGUUGGGAUAGUGAAUGGUGAAUGUGACCUGGGUGCCUUUCGUGGGGACACCUGUGUGCCGUUGUUUAUACGAGCAGCUUCGCGAGGGCCAUGAUUGUAUAAAAUACAACCAUGGUUCUCGGCCUUUAGAUUCCUACUGCAGAGGAUGGGCGCGCAUUGCAUGACGUGUGGCACUCGGAGGGAGGAGCUGGAAUGGGUAUUGGAGCGGGUAAAUGGCGCGGUUGUGGGCGAGGUGCGAUAGCGGAUCUUUGUAGGGGGGUUUCUGGGGGAACUGCCGAGGGAGGCCGCAGGUUGGACAGGUGUUCGAGGAAGUUUUUUGGCAUCCAGAUUGGUCUCAUUACUUUGAGAUUCGGGGGGAGGGUUGAGAAGUGCACUAGGUCGCAGUUGGUCUUUAAUGGGAGAGGUACCAUUUUUGAUUUGUUGAGAAGCAACAGGGAUGGGAUGGGUCACUUGUUGCUGCCUGGGAUGUGUGA
rnacentral:lncRNA from 1 species